UGGGGAAUUUUGGACAAUGGGGGGAACCCUGAUCCAGCCAUGCCGCGUGUAUGAAGAAGGCCUUCGGGUUGUAAAGUACUUUUGUUAGGGAAGAAAAGCUUGCUGCUAAUAUCAGUGAGUGCUGACGGUACCUAAAGAAUAAGCACCGGCUAACUACGUGCCAGCAGCCGCGGUAAUACGUAGGGUGCAAGCGUUAAUCGGAAUUACUGGGCGUAAAGCGAGCGCAGGCGGUUAUUUAAGUCAGGUGUGAAAUCCCCGAGCUCAACUUGGGAAUUGCGCUUGAAACUGGGUAACUAGAGUGUGUCAGAGGGGGGUAGAAUUCCACGUGUAGCAGUGAAAUGCGUAGAGAUGUGGAGGAAUACCGAUGGCGAAGGCAGCCCCCUGGGAUAACACUGACGCU
rnacentral:rRNA from 1 species